GGGCGGGUGGCGGAACUGGCAUACGCGCCGGCCUUAGAAGCCGGUCCUCGAAAGAGGUUGUGAGUUCGACCCUCACCCCGCCCA
rnacentral:tRNA from 1 species